CCUAAUCAACCGUGGAGGCGGUCCGGCGGGAUAAAAUUGGUCCGGGUCCGCGGGUCGUGGUCGCGUGCGGCGCCUAAGUGGAGCCGACAAGCAGAGGUGUAAUAAGAGAGGCCGCCGCCGCUGAGCUGAGAGCCGCUCCCCGCCUCUACAGGAUGGAUGAGGGCGUGGACGUGAGGCCGACCCGCCACCUGGUCCGGUAGGAGCGGCUCCUCCUCGCCGACCAGUACUAGGCGAAGCCGGUGCUGACCCUGCUCUGCACGUACGUCUACCUGCUCCACGACAGUCCCCACCGACUCUGGUAUUUCUUGAAACGCCACUAGAUGGAGCAGCUGUAGUGCCUCCAAGGACUGAAGUUGUGGUACAUGCUCGACAUACUAGGCAGUUGCCACUACAAGAAGAAGGCGUUGUUCGUGUAGUACUAACUAGAGCCCUGCCCUUUGUUGUUGUUCUAGUUGACCCGUUACUUUCUGUUCGUUCUCAAACAACUGUAACACCUCUGACAGAUGUCUCCUCGAGCAUUCCCCGCACCAGACCACUAACGAGGGUUCCUAAUGAGGUGUUUUAUGGCAAUGACUCCAACUUGAAAGUUAAAAUAGUCCGAAACCAAGAUUUAGUUAGAUUACUUACUCCACGACAGUCCCCACCGACUCUGGUAUUUUUGAAACGCCACUAGAUGGAGCAGCUGUAGUGCCUCCAAGGACUGAAGUUGUGGUACAUGCUCGACAUACUGGGCAGCUGCCACUACAAGAAGAAGGCGUUGUUCGUGUAGUACUAACUAGAACCCUGUCCUUUGUUGUUCUAAACUGACCCGUCACUUUCUUUGACAGAUGUCUCCUCGAGCAUUUCCGGCGGGUUCCUAAUGAGGUGGUUUAUGACAAUGACUCCAUAGAAACGGACCGUCACACAUCAGGCGAGACAAGAAGCUUUACGGUCAUGAAUGCGACAUCGGGAACUACAUUACAGCCAGUUGAGACUUUCACAGCGCAUUGAUACAUAGACAUAGAACUUAUAGCAGUAAAGUACUUGAACAUCGGGAACCUUUGUCCCGGACAACGGAUAAACAUACCGAC
rnacentral:rRNA from 1 species